CCUACGGGUGGCAGCAGUGAGGAAUAUUGGUCAAUGGGCGCAAGCCUGAACCAGCCAAGUAGCGUGAGGGAUGACUGCCCUACGGGUUGUAAACUUCUUUUAUAAAGGAGUAAAGUGAGGCACGUUUGCCUUUUUGUAUGUACUUUAUGAGUACGGAUCGGCUAACUCCGUGCCAGCAGCCGCGGUAAUACGGGGGAUCCGGGCGUUAUCCGGAUUUAUUGGGUUUAAAGGGAGCGUAGAUGGGUUGUUAAGUCAGUUGUGAAAGGUUGCGGCUCAACCGUAAAAUUGCAAUUGAUACUGGCAGCCUGGAGUACAGUGGAGGUAGGCGGAAUUCGUGGUGUAGCGGUGAAAUGCGUAGAUAUCACGAAGAACUCCGAUUGCGAAGGCAGCUUACUAAACUGUAACUGACAUUGAUGCUCGAAAGUGUGGGUAUCAAACAGGAUUAGAUACCCCUGUAGUC
rnacentral:rRNA from 1 species